rnacentral:lncRNA from 1 species
AUUCAGAUAUUCUGGAAAAAGAUGUGCUGGUCUGUAGUGAGACCCGAGUCUAUGAUUAUGGUCCUUGGAGUCCAUGAUGGUGUCCUCGCCUUUCAUCUUAGGGACCUGGUUCAGCUUAUCUGAUUUUGCCCUAAUCGAUUAGACAGGCAUCAGUCAUGUUUGAUAUCUCAGACUCUCUUUUUGCCAUUGAACUCUUUUAAUUCAACUAUUCCUGGUUUCUCAUCAGUUGAAACAUAUUUCACCACUGCAAGUAUAUCAAGAAAAAUGACGUGCUUGCAAUAUUUUGUCAGUAGGAUCUUACGUGUUGCACGGAUUUCAUGGUCGUGCUACUGUUGUUGGGGCUAAGGUCCACCUCAUCUGAUGGUCUUCCAAAACGGUGGACGCCACAAUGAACCACUAUGUGAUCUGAAGUAGCCCUGGGGUUCAAUGUCCUGCUCUGGUGCAUUUC